AUGAGUCGUCAUGAUGGCAUCAACAUCCCCGAUGGCAAGUUCUACCUUGGAGAUGCUGACUAUGCAUGUCGGCCAGAUGUUCUUCCACCCUUCAGGAAAACCAGGUACCAUCUGAACGAGUUUGCUGGUAGGACCUAUCCUAGGACUCCUCAGGAACUGUUCAAUCUCAGACACUCCAGCCUUAGAGUGGUUGUUGAGAGGGCCUUUGGAGCUCUGAAGAACAGGUUUAAGAUCCUGGAUCAGAAGCCAUUCUACCCUUACCCUACUCAGGUGAAGCUUGUUCUGGCAUGUUGCAUCAUUCACAACUGGAUCCUGCAAUGGGAAGUUGAUGAAUUUGUGCCGGAGGAGGAGGAUGUGACUCCUGAUAAGGUGAUCAGCUCAGGCCAUGGUGUGGAGGCGUUCGACAAUGAAGCAUGGAAGAACAAAAUGUUGGAGUGGGCUCAGGCAAUGUUGGAUAAUAGAGGUCAGACAAGGAUCUAA
rnacentral:rRNA from 1 species